CCAUUUCUGUGCGUCGAGCUCCGCCCCACGAGCGCCCGGUUUCGGGCGGAGAGCGCGCCCCGUUUGGUACCUUGGUGUCCUAUCGCGGCUUGGGACCCGACAAGAUGGGCAAGAAGGGCAAGAAGGAGAAGAAGGGCCGCGGCGCGGAGAAGACGGCCGCCAAGAUGGAGAAGAAGGUGUCUAAGCGCUCGCGGAAGGAGGAGGAAGACCUGGAAGCGCUCAUAGCCCAUUUCCAGACGCUCGAUGCCAAGAGGACUCAGAUUGUGGAAACUCCGUGCCCCCCGCCCUCACCAAGGUUAAAUGCCUCCCUCUCGGUUCAUCCUGAGAAAGAUGAAUUAAUCCUUUUUGGAGGUGAAUAUUUCAACGGCCAAAAAACUUUUUUGUAUAACGAGCUCUAUGUCUACAAUAUCAGAAAGGACGCCUGGACCAAAGUUGACAUCCCCAGUCCACCUCCGAGGCGCUGUGCUCACCAGGCGGUGGUGGUGCCUCAAGGUGGCGGACAGCUGUGGGUCUUUGGAGGGGAGUUUGCCUCUCCCAGCGGAGAGCAGUUCUACCACUACAAGGAUCUCUGGGUCCUGCAUUUGGCCACCAAGACCUGGGAACAAGUCAAAUCAACAGGGGGUCCUUCGGGUCGGAGUGGACAUCGGAUGGUGGCCUGGAAGAGACAGUUGAUCCUUUUUGGUGGCUUCCAUGAGAGUACACGGGAUUACAUCUACUACAAUGAUGUGUACGCCUUUAAUCUGGACACCUUCACAUGGAGCAAGCUGUCCCCGUCAGGCACGGGGCCCACACCCAGAUCAGGCUGCCAGAUGUCCGUCACUCCCCAGGGCGGCAUCGUCAUCUACGGGGGCUACUCGAAACAGAGAGUUAAGAAAGACGUGGACAAGGGCAUGCGGCACUCAGACAUGUUCCUGCUGAAGCCGGAGGACGGGAGAGAAGACAAGUGGGUGUGGACUCGGAUGAACCCUUCGGGGGUCAAGCCCACCCCACGGUCUGGCUUUUCCGUGGCCAUGGCCCCGAAUCACCAGACGCUGUUCUUCGGGGGUGUCUGUGACGAGGAAGAGGAGGAGAGCCUGGCGGGCGAGUUCUUCAACGAUCUGUACUUCUACGAUGCCACCAGGAACCGCUGGUUUGAGGGACAGCUGAAGGGGCCCAAGUCUGAGAAGAAGAAGCGCAGGCGGGGCAGAAGAGAGGAGCCCGAAGGUGGCAGCAAGCUGGCGUGUGGGGGAGCUGGCACGCAGGCGCCUGUGGAGGUGGUCAAGGAGGUGGUGACCGAGGAUGGGACCGUGGUCACCAUUAAGCAGGUGCUCUCCGCCCCAGGCUCGGCAGGGCAGCCCCAGUCUGAGGACGAAGACAGCCUCGAGGAGGCUGGCAGCCCCACACCCGGGCCGUGUCCUCGCUCCAACGCCAUGCUGGCCGUGAAGCACGGGGUGCUCUACGUCUACGGGGGCAUGUUUGAGGCUGGCGACCGCCAGGUCACCCUCAGCGACCUGCACUGCCUGGACCUGCACAGGAUGGAGGCGUGGAAGGCCUUGGUGGAGAUGGACCCAGAAACUCAGGAGUGGCUGGAGGAGACAGACUCGGAAGAGGACAGUGAGGAGGUUGAAGGUGCUGAGGGUGGAGACGAGGAUGAGGACGAAGACAGCGGAGAGGAGAGCGGUGCGGAGGACUGAGGCAUCCCCCUCGGCUGAAUGUGUUUCUCUCUCAUUCCUUCCUCCUUGUGUAUCAGAAGAGCCCCCUCCAGGGGCGCCUGGCAAGUGCUGUGCCUACGUCCGCCCAGGACCCAGCCAUGUUGGUUGAAGCUCUCGGGGCCAGCCUGUGCCCUGACACACAGGAGAGAGCUGAAGACCCAGAAGAGGGCCCUGACUUCCCAUCCAUCUUCAUACUCGGAUCAGCCUUUGACGUCUGGAAACUGAAAAGCAGGCCAGGGCCAGUGCACGCCUUCCCUGUUCUCGUUCAUGUACGGCACCGCUGGCCGACUCCACACGGGGAUCUCCUGGUGGGUCCCUCGUGCAGCGGCCUCACUCCUGGGAGCCCCGUGCCCCCGCAUGGUCUCUGGUGAGGCCCUGGUGGUCCCUGUCGGGUUUAGGGUUUAGGAUUAGCAUUUGCAGAGCGACAGGAUGGGAGGCCGGAGGCUGAGGGCUCCCAGCGUCCCCAUAUGGCUGCCACCAGGUAUCUCCGGCCAGCUCCUCCUGGCUCCCGCGCUGCAGCGCCCUUGCCCCCGAAGGCUGUGGUGCGCUAACCCCCACCCGAGGCCUGCUCCAGUCCAAGACUGAAGGCCGGUUCAGAUUUGCAUAAUUGGGGUCAAAUGUUGAGCACUGAAACCACACCCGGUGCAGUUUUGUGGGUGUCUUAAAUAUUUUGAACAGUGGGAAUAUAGGAUCCUUAGCUUUCUGUAAUGGGCCAACAUAACUGUGGUCCCUUUUCUUAUCUGGGAGUUCAAAACAAGGGUGGUGGGGAGACUCCCUUCCUGGCGGAACCAGUGUUGAGCGGAGAGGACUAGAAGCUGACUUGGCAGCGAGCAGCUGUGAGCGCCUCCCUGCUCCCUUGGCCGAUUCGUCCUCAUGGCUCCAGGUGGGCCCAGGAGUACCCGGGUCACCAUGGGGCAGUGGCUUCAGAAGCGUCAUCUCUCAGGAUCACCUCAGGGGCACUUGGCCAGCUCUUCCCCAGCAGGGGCACGUGCUGAGCUCCCUGGUGAGCCAGGUGUUCAGGAGGCCUCGGCGGGCGGGUGGCACUUGAACUGGCCCCGAGGGCCCUGCCCGCUGCCAUGGGUGUGACCUCACUUCAGGCUUCUGUGGUCACUUGACCGAAAAGCUGAUCAGAAAGGGGAAAGAAAGGGGAAGGCUCUGAGCACUGCCCGUUCCCUGGUGGGGACACCUGUCUGGUGCGUCUGGAUGUGUGGGUGGCACUGCCGACGGGUGAGGCUGCAGGCGUAGCCCCCCUGGAGGGCUGCAGCUCGUGUUUGCGUUGUGCUGGCUCCCCUGCCAACCCCCGAGGGCUGCAGCUCAUGUUGGCGGCGUCGGGCUUUGGUGGCCGGUUUGGGCACUUUGUCUCGAGUGCGGGGCAGGCAGGGCUCUUUCCUCACGCUCUCGGCUGAGCUGGUUGGGAGAGGCUCGGGCAGGGCUGAGAAGCCGGAGCGCAGGCAGCAGCGUCCCCGCCCCCACAGGCUCUGCGGCUCUGGCCCUUGUCCAGAAGAUGGACCCCGUUGUGUGGCCGGUUCGGUCUUCCCUCCUGCUCUUGGAGGAAGGAAUGGAAAGAUCUUGUUGGCUUCAAUGCAGUUGUCUGUUAUCAGAGAUUUUCUUUCAGAGGAGCUUGUAACUAAUUAAAUGGGAUUCCCAGGAAAAAGGUACUUUUGAAUCAACCAAGUUGAAAGACAGAUGACAGCAGCCCUGAGGAAGAAACUUCUUGUACACUUUCUUAUACAGAAAGCAUUUUGCUUUUGUUGCUAAAGAUUUGAUUUGAAUGAAAGAUACUGAUCAGAACCAAUGGGGAUCAGACAGACAAGCUCCCAGCAUGGAGUGGCUGCCACGGCCGUGAUGAAAACAGCAGCGCCCCUUCAGUGUGGAACCGCGGGAGACGCGGAACGCAACACAGGGUGGUGGCUUCCUGUGCAGGCUCUGCCUGCCCCACGGGCCUGUGGUCUGCUUUGUCUGCUAGAGCCCAGUUUAUUGAACCACUUGGUGGCCAGGCAGCCGCCAUAGGGUGUGAGCAGCCGGCAUGAAAGCCCAGGGCCUCUGUCUCCCGGGAGCGGCUGGGACAGCGCGGCUGGGACACGCCAUACUCGGUGCCACAUUCACCUCCAGUUCCUCGGUGUGGUGAGCUGCUGGCUGUUAGGAAGGCUUUCCCUCGGCUCCGGCCCCCCCACACGGCCCCCGGACCCCAGACUGCAGGGUGGGCGGGCAUGUCAGGUGAGGCGCUCUGGCCGGCCCACUUGGCAGCAGGGCCACAGCUCCUCGCAGGGCUUUGUGGGAUUUCGAAGGAUGAAUCAUCUUGUUCCCCAUUCUCCCCCUGCUGCCCAUGCACGUCAUGCUCUGUGUGAGGAUGUACUGGAGGGACUGGCCAUGCGCGGUGGCUUUUUUCGUGGUUGGGGCGGGGGGGUGUUGGGUGGAAUGAACAUCAAGGGAACUACCCAUUGAGCUUAGAAAUCCUUGCCAGGCAGUUAGUUUGUGUUUGUUUUUAGACGAGAGUAGUGUUGACUGCAAUUUGACAUCUGAUUUUUUUUUUAAUUGAGUUGGUAUAAGCAGGAUGUCAUUGGCUAGGUGACAGUUACAGAGUCACUGAGGGACCAAAUGCCAAGAUGCCUGUUGGUGAGAGAGACCCUCUCCAGAGUUUUCCAGAGGCGACUCCUUCCACGUGACGUUCAGGCUGUGACAAACCCCGUGCCCACGCUGCCUGCACUGCCGGGAGACUCAGGGCUGGGGGGGGCAUGCCCCGGCCACCACUGGUGAGCCAGCGAGACUGAGGACCCCGCACGUGCUGACCCGGGGACACCGCGGAACUCACUCGAGACUGAGGACCCGGCGUGUGCUGACGCAGGGACGCCACGGAACUCACUCGAGAUUCCUGCUCACAGCACGUUUCCUGCUCGGAAGCCAGGAGAGCCUCCACGUGCCACCCAGCUCUGUCCACGUGUCCAUCACACAGCUCUGCAGCAGAAGGAACUUCAGUAAAGAUGAUGGUUUGUAAUGAGACAAGCGUUCCAAAGUGUCACACGACAUUGUUUAUUACUAAAAGGAGCAGAAUUUCUCUUUAA